UACGUAGGGUGCAAGCGUUGUCCGGAAUUAUUGGGCGUAAAGAGCUCGUAGGCGGCUUGUCGCGUCGGCUGUGAAAACCUGGGGCUCAACCCCGGGCCUGCAGCCGAUACGGGCAAGCUAGAAUUCGGUAGGGGAGUCUGGAAUUCCUGGUGUAGCGGUGAAAUGCGCAGAUAUCAGGAGGAACACCGGUGGCGAAGGCGGGACUCUGGGCCGAUACUGACGCUGAGGAGCGAAAGCGUGGGGAGCGAACAGG
rnacentral:rRNA from 1 species